UAAUACAUGCAAGUCGAACGAGUUCUGAUUAUUGAAAGGUGCUUGCAUCUUGAUUUAAUUUUGAACGAGUGGCGGACGGGUGAGUAACACGUGGGUAACCUGCCCUUAAGUGGGGGAUAACAUUUGGAAACAGAUGCUAAUACCGCAUAAAUCCAAGAACCGCAUGGUUCUUGGCUGAAAGAUGGCGUAAGCUAUCGCUUUUGGAUGGACCCGCGGCGUAUUAGCUAGUUGGUGAGGUAACGGCUCACCAAGGCAAUGAUACGUAGCCGAACUGAGAGGUUGAUCGGCCACAUUGGGACUGAGACACGGCCCAAACUCCUACGGGAGGCAGCAGUAGGGAAUCUUCCACAAUGGACGCAAGUCUGAUGGAGCAACGCCGCGUGAGUGAAGAAGGCUUUCGGGUCGUAAAACUCUGUUGUUGGAGAAGAAUGGUCGGCAGAGUAACUGUUGUCGGCGUGACGGUAUCCAACCAGAAAGCCACGGCUAACUACGUGCCAGCAGCCGCGGUAAUACGUAGGUGGCAAGCGUUAUCCGGAUUAUUGGGCGUAAGCAGCGCAGGCGGUUUUU
rnacentral:rRNA from 2 species